AUUGAACGCUAGCGGCAGGCCUAACACAUGCAAGUCGAACGAAUGGCGGACGGGUGAGUAAUGUCUGGGCAACUGACUGAUGGAUGGGGAUACCUACUGGAAACUGUCGCUACUACCGCAUACCAUCAGAUGUGCCCAGAUGGGAUUAGCUAGUUGGUGGGGUAAAGGCUCACCAGGGCGACGAUCCCUAGCUGGUUUGAGAGGAUGACCAGCCACAAUGGGACUGAGGCACGGUCCAGACUCCUACGGGAGGCAACAGUGGGGAAUUUUGCACAAUGGGCGCAAUCCUGAUGCAGCCAUGCCGCGUGUGUGAAGAAGGCCUUCGGGUUGUAAAGUACUUUCAGCGGGGAGGCGUUACCCGCAGAAGAAGCACCGGCUAACUACGUGCCAGCAGCCGCGGUAAUAC
rnacentral:rRNA from 1 species